AGAGGACCGAGAACAUUGACAGUAACCAAACUCAAAACUCAAACUGAAUCCAACAAAAUCUAAAUCAAUUCCAAUGGGAUCACAAAAUCUGCAAAAUUGACAGUAACCCACAAACAAGAAUAUCUAAAAGAUCAAAAUCUGCAAACUAUUGCAACCAAAUUAAUGGGGUUGCUGGACAUAUAUGAUUGUCUAGACAGGAAAUCAGGAACAACCUGAAAUCGGGAAAUCGGGAAUCAUACCUUCAAAAGUUUCAAAUGGCCUUUAAACCCGAUCUGUUUCAAAACGACGUCACUUUUUCUUUUUUUUUUCUGCGCGUACGCCUUGGAGGACGCCUCACCAGCGUCAUCGCCUAGCCACCGGAACACACUCAAUUUCAGGCCUGGAAUUCGCUUUUUGCGCCUCAGGGGCGCGGCUUUUUAAUUCAUAUUUCUAAUUGCUUGUCAUAGGUGUUAUGAGAAGUGUUUACUGCAAUGCUGGUUUAAACAAUCAGUUGCUUCUGUUGGAUUCUUAAAAUGGCAGUAAAUUUCAACGCGAAAUCGAUUUGUGAAUUAGCUUUUGGGUGCUUUUGCCAGUUAAUCAGAAUUUUAUUCUAUGGGGAUAACAUACUGUUUGUUCUUUUUCAAAGUUUAAGCUAUUUAGGAUACUAGACUCUCUUGUAUAUUUGAUCUCUUUUUGUUUCCCUAGAAUAUGCUGUUUGUUUCCUUCUUGCGUGUUGUUUUCUUGUAUCACCGUUGUCUUUCAUCUCAGUUAAUGAAUGAACGAUAAAAGUCAUGCUUCUGAUGAAAUCCUUGGGGGAUUGAUAGUCAUGUAAGACUUCAAUCUGGAUUUGAAGCAACUGAAGGAAUUAGUAAAGCAUCUAACUUUGAGUAGAAUACAAACAUGGUUCCGCGGUUUAUUUUGGAAGGCGGCCAGAAUAGGUGAGCGCUUAAGCCCCUGGGUGGGCCCUGGGGUGCUUCAUAAUGGGCGUGUCAAUUCUCUUUUAAUGGUAUUGUCUGUGAUUUGUAGCUCCAUCCAAUUCUAUUAUGAAGAAAUUUGCAGCAGCAAACAUCUGAUUUUGUCAAGUGGAUUGUCGUAAUGGGAAAACUGUUCUUCCAAGUACUGUAAAUAGAGGAGAUUUUUAGGUGAGAAUUGACUUUAGUUUGUGAUUAUUUUAGUGACAAUCUUACUGAAUGAAUGACAAUAGCUGUUUUUGUGAAGGCAGUGUAGGCAGGACUCUAAUUGCCAUAUAGAUGA